rnacentral:tRNA from 1 species
AGGGGAGUAGCUCAAUUGGCAGAGUAGCGGACUCCAAAUCCGUUGGUUGCAGGUUCGAGUCCUGUCUCCCCUG